UUUGAAUUUCUCUUUGCGUCUUCUGUGGAGUCUUUUUGCUUCCGUUGUAGGGUUUCAUCUCCAUUUUCAAACCGGGUUAACCGGUUCAAUUUUUUUUAUUUUGGUCCUGAAUUUUGAAGUUGCAACUCAAUCUCUGAUCAAGGAAGGAGCAAAGAAAGAAAAAAAGAAGAUGCAGCAAGAUCUGCUCAAGAAGGUUGUUUCUUUGUCCAUGAUUGCCCCUUUUGUCUGCAAAGUCUGUUACGGUGCUAUGAGAUGACACACAUGAGUGCAAGCAAGGUGGUGGUGAUGAAUAAGUUUAGAUGAAGAUGCAUUGGCCGAAGGUGCCGAGAGUUUUCUAUAUUGCUCUGAUUUCAUGUUUGCGGCGAUUUUUUCGGGGAAUUAUAGGCUAAAAGAGAGCAAUGUUGGAUUUAGUUGAUAAGUGUUUUGGUUUGAAUUUGAGUUGUUGCAGUUAUUUUGAAGAGACAACAAUGGUAGUGACUAAUUGUAUUUUUUCACUUCUUUUGUUUGAAUAUUUUGGGGAUAAUUUGAUAUGGUGAGUGGUGAAUUUACAUGUUUAAUUUUAAAUCUCAUACAUGUACUAUUGUGCAAACCAAAAAAGAAGCACCUUAUUGACCAAGGGAAACAUAUAGAUGAUAUGCAAAUGAUAUAUAUCAAA